rnacentral:rRNA from 1 species
AGAGUUUGAUCCUGGCUCAGGAUGAACGCUAGCUACAGGCUUAACACAUGCAAGUCGAGGGGCAGCAUGGUCUUAGCUUGCUAAGGCCGAUGGCGACCGGCGCACGGGUGAGUAACACGUAUCCAACCUGCCGUCUACUCUUGGACAGCCUUCUGAAAGGAAGAUUAAUACAAGAUGGCAUCAUGAGUCCGCAUGUUCACAUGAUUAAAGGUAUUCCGGUAGACGAUGGGGAUGCGUUCCAUUAGAUAGUAGGCGGGGUAACGGCCCACCUAGUCUUCGAUGGAUAGGGGUUCUGAGAGGAAGGUCCCCCACAUUGGAACUGAGACACGGUCCAAACUCCUACGGGAGGCAGCAGUGAGGAAUAUUGGUCAAUGGGCGAGAGCCUGAACCAGCCAAGUAGCGUGAAGGAUGACUGCCCUAUGGGUUGUAAACUUCUUUUAUAAAGGAAUAAAGUCGGGUAUGGAUACCCGUUUGCAUGUACUUUAUGAAUAAGGAUCGGCUAACUCCGUGCCAGCAGCCGCGGUAAUACGGAGGAUCCGAGCGUUAUCCGGAUUUAUUGGGUUUAAAGGGAGCGUAGAUGGAUGUUUAAGUCAGUUGUGAAAGUUUGCGGCUCAACCGUAAAAUUGCAGUUGAUACUGGAUAUCUUGAGUGCAGUUGAGGCAGGCGGAAUUCGUGGUGUAGCGGUGAAAUGCUUAGAUAUCACGAAGAACUCCGAUUGCGAAGGCAGCCUGCUAAGCUGCAACUGACAUUGAGGCUCGAAAGUGUGGGUAUCAAACAGGAUUAGAUACCCUGGUAGUCCACACGGUAAACGAUGAAUACUCGCUGUUUGCGAUAUACAGCAAGCGGCCAAGCGAAAGCGUUAAGUAUUCCACCUGGGGAGUACGCCGGCAACGGUGAAACUCAAAGGAAUUGACGGGGGCCCGCACAAGCGGAGGAACAUGUGGUUUAAUUCGAUGAUACGCGAGGAACCUUACCCGGGCUUAAAUUGCAGAUGAAUUACGGUGAAAGCCGUAAGCCGCAAGGCAUCUGUGAAGGUGCUGCAUGGUUGUCGUCAGCUCGUGCCGUGAGGUGUCGGCUUAAGUGCCAUAACGAGCGCAACCCCUCUCCUUAGUUGCCAUCAGGUAAAGCUGGGCACUCUGGGGACACUGCCACCGUAAGGUGUGAGGAAGGUGGGGAUGACGUCAAAUCAGCACGGCCCUUACGUCCGGGGCUACACACGUGUUACAAUGGGGGGUACAGAGGGCCGCUACCACGCGAGUGGAUGCCAAUCCCAAAAACCUCUCUCAGUUCGGACUGGAGUCUGCAACCCGACUCCACGAAGCUGGAUUCGCUAGUAAUCGCGCAUCAGCCACGGCGCGGUGAAUACGUUCCCGGGCCUUGUACACACCGCCCGUCAAGCCAUGGGAGCCGGGGGUACCUGAAGUGCGUAACCGCGAGGAGCGCCCUAGGGUAAAACUGGUGACUGGGGCUAAGUCGUAACAAGGUAGCCGUACCGGAAGGUGCGGCUG